rnacentral:rRNA from 1 species
AUGCCAUUUAUUAUUAGUCUAAUGUGUGAUAGCUGCUCAAUCUAUUUUGUGGUACCCAACAUUGCAAAUUAUUUGGAGAUCCAAAGGAGACAGAUUCAACAUCAUAUGUAUUCAAGUAACAAUCAAAGGUUAUAUGUGGUAUUUAGGAUAUGGGUCAAGAACUUUACGUGCAACCUGAGAUCAAAACUUAUCAACAGAGAUAAAAAAACACCAAUAGAGAUUGCCAUUUUUGGGACGUUAGUUCCAUCAAGCUUAAUACGACAUCAUGCAAAAUUUUGCAAAAGCUUUCUAUUAUUAUAA